GACGAACGCUGGCGGCGUGCUUAACACAUGCAAGUCGAACGGAACGGCCCUGCUUUUGUGGGGUGCUCGAGUGGCGAACGGGUGAGUAACACGUGAGUAACCUGCCCUUGACUUUGGGAUAACUUCAGGAGACUGGGGCUAAUACCGGAUAGGAGCUCCUGCUUCUUGGUGGGGGUUGGAAAGUUUCGGCGGUUGGGGAUGGACUCGCGGCGUAUCAGCUUGUUGGUGGGGUAGUGGCUUACCAAGGCUUUGACGGGUAGCCGGCCUGAGAGGGUGACCGGCCACAUUGGGACUGGGAUGCGGCCCAGACUCCUACGGGAGGCAGCAGUGGAGAAUAUUGCACAAUGGGCGGAAGCCUGAUGCAGCAACGCCGCGUGCGGGAUGACGGCCUGCGGGUUGUAAACCGCUUUCGCCUGUGACGAAGCGUGAGUGACGGUAAUGGGUAAAGAAGCACCGGCUAACUACGUG
rnacentral:rRNA from 1 species